rnacentral:rRNA from 1 species
GACGAACGCUGGCGGCGUGCUUAACACAUGCAAGUCGUACGGUAAGGCCCUUUCGGGGGUACACGAGUGGCGAACGGGUGAGUAACACGUGAGUAACCUGCCCACAACUUUGGGAUAACGCUAGGAAACUGGUGCUAAUACUGGAUAUGUGCUCCUGCUGCAUGGUGGGGGUUGGAAAGCUCCGGCGGUUGUGGAUGGACUCGCGGCCUAUCAGCUUGUUGGUGGGGUAGUGGCCUACCAAGGCGGCGACGGGUAGCCGGCCUGAGAGGGUGACCGGCCAAAUGGGGCCGAGGAAACGGCCAAGACCCCUCCGGGGGGGAGCGGUGGGGAAUAUUGAACAAUGGGCCCAAGCCUGAUGCAGCAACCCCGGGGGGGGGAUAACGGCCUUCGGGUUGUAAACCGCUUUAAGCAGGGAAGAAGCUUUUUGGGGCGGUACCUGCAAAAGAAGCACCGGCUAACUACGG